GCCAGCAGCCAUAUCAUUCUGCAGCUCAUGACUGGCAGCCCAGUGUAGCUCAGCAGGUGUGAGCCUGGUCAGUACCUGGCUGGGAGACCUCCUGGGAAGUUAAGGUUGCAGCUCGUC
rnacentral:rRNA from 1 species